rnacentral:rRNA from 1 species
GUAAACGAUGUCUACUUGGAGGUUUGUGGCCUUGAGCCGUGGCUUUCGGAGCUAACGCGUUAAGUAGACCGCCUGGGGAGUACGGUCGCAAGAUUAAAACUCAAAUGAAUUGACGGGGGCCCGCACAAGCGGUGGAGCAUGUGGUUUAAUUCGAUGCAACGCGAAGAACCUUACCUACUCUUGACAUCUACAGAAUCCUGCGGAGACGCGGGAGUGCCUUCGGGAACUGUAAGACAGGUGCUGCAUGGCUGUCGUCAGCUCGUGUUGUGAAAUGUUGGGUUAAGUCCCGCAACGAGCGCAACCCUUAUCCUUGUUUGCCAGCGAGUAAUGUCGGGAACUCCAGGGAGACUGCCGGUGAUAAACCGGAGGAAGGUGGGGACGACGUCAAGUCAUCAUGGCCCUUACGAGUAGGGCUACACACGUGCUACAAUGGCGCAUACAGAGGGCAGCAAGCUAGCGAUAGUGAGCGAAUCCCAAAAAGUGCGUCGUAGUCCGGAUUGGAGUCUGCAACUCGACUCCA